AGUGAACGCUGGCGGUAGGCCUAACACAUGCAAGUCGAACGGCAGCACAGUAAGAGCUUGCUCUUACGGGUGGCGAGUGGCGGACGGGUGAGGAAUGCAUCGGAAUCUACUUUUUCGUGGGGGAUAACGUAGGGAAACUUACGCUAAUACCGCAUACGACCUACGGGUGAAAGCAGGGGAUCUUCGGACCUUGCGCGAUUGAAUGAGCCGAUGUCGGAUUAGCUAGUUGGCGGGGUAAAGGCCCACCAAGGCGACGAUCCGUAGCUGGUCUGAGAGGAUGAUCAGCCACACUGGAACUGAGACACGGUCCAGACUCCUACGGGAGGCAGCAGUGGGGAAUAUUGGACAAUGGGCGCAAGCCUGAUCCAGCCAUACCGCGUGGGUGAAGAAGGCCUUCGGGUUGUAAAGCCCUUUUGUUGGGAAAGAAAAGCAGCAGGUUAAUACCCCGCUGUUCUGACGGUACCCAAAGAAUAAGCACCGACUAACUUCGUG
rnacentral:rRNA from 1 species